rnacentral:rRNA from 1 species
AUGAAAGGGUUCGACGACGUCUGGAGGAGCCAGAUUGAAUCGUUCACGCAAAAGGGUAGUGUUGGCAUUAAAGUGAAUGACGACAUUGGUCAUUACUUCCAAACACACAAGGGCUUGCGGCAAGGAGAUCCGAUGUCCCCUAUUCUGUUCAACAUAGUUGUGGACAUGUUGGCAGUUCUGGUACAGAGAGCCAAGGAGGCUGGCCAAGUAGGAGGCUUGGUGCCUCAUUUAGUGGAUGGAGGAAUUUCCAUCCUUCAGUACGCUGAUGACACGAUCAUCUUCAUGGAGCAUGACUUGGUAAAAGCAAGAAAUAUGAAGUUGUUGCUUUGUUUGUUUGAGCAAUUGAGUGGGCUCAAAAUUAACUUCCACAAAAGCGAGUUGUUCUGUUUUGGUAGAGCCAAGGAGGAACAAGAAGCUUACAAACAAUUGUUUGGAUGUGGUUCGGGGGAGCUGCCAUUCACAUACCUAGGAAUUCCUAUACAUCACCGUAGGCUUAUGAACAACGAAUGGAAGUGUAUCGAGGAUCGAUUCGAGAAAAAGCUAAGUUGUUGGAAGGGUAAGCUCAUGUCAUAUGGAGGCCGUUUAAUUCUUAUUAAUUCGGUGCUCACGAGCAUGCCCAUGUUUCUUUUGUCUUUCUUUGAAGUCCCAGUUGGUGUAAGGAAAAGACUGGACUUCUAUCGAUCGCGUUUCUUUUGGCAGGGAGAUGAGCUAAAAAGAAAAUACCGAUUAGCGAAGUGGGAUAUCAUUUGUAGGCCGAAAGACCAAGGGGGUAUGGGGAUUGAAAAUCUCGAGGUUAAGAACCGAUGCCUUCUUAGUAAGUGGUUGUGGAAGUUAUCUUCAGGAACUGACGCCACUUGGGCUCAAAUCCUUCGUAAUAAGUAUCUUCAAACCAAAACUUUGUCUCAGGUCACGGUUAGACAAACUGAUUCACCCUUUUGGAAAGGGGUCAUGAAAGUUAAGCUUUCAUUUUUCAGAGGGCAAAGCAUAUAG